rnacentral:lncRNA from 1 species
UUCCAUUUCAAAUCUGCUGUAUAAAUAAAGAAGCAUCUUAGCCUAAUAUUUCAUCAAAUAUCAGACACUUUCUCUCAUUUCUAGUUUUCUCUGCAGGCAAAUUAAGAAGGUUAAAAAUGGUGUUCUCGGCCAUACUAAGUUGCUUUGUUCCAUCUUCUUCCUCGACCCGAGUCUUCAAUGAUGCUGGUGGGUCUAGUUUGAAGGAACCUAAGAGCAAGUCAUCGAAAUCUUCAUCAAGAGCUCCGAUCCCGGUCUCUUACUUCCCUGUUAACUCCUACCUCUCUCGCUUGUAGUGAUUAAUUUGAUCGCAAGUUGGAGUUAGACUUUGAAGAGUACCAAUGGAUUAUUGAUUCAGUUUAUGUAUUAUAUGAUGGGGUUCCUCAUCAUGCAGUUGCUUGAGGAGUGAUGAUGGAGUUUGUUUUAAUGUACAGUUUGAUGAUUAAUUUGCAAUAAUUAGAUUCAAGAAUAUUGUUAAUUUCCUCCAACUGCAUGCAAUGAAACAACUCUUUUUAAUAUAAAGUUGGGUAUGAUGAUACCAUGAAAUUACCUGCAACCAAAUAAGACAUUAACCCCAACUGAACUUCCUUGUUGUUUCUCAAUUUGAUCAGUAAAGGAGGAAGUCUUAAAAAAGCCAAUGGAAAAUGACCCCACCAUUUUAGAGAAACACUAGGUGAAAUUUGAUCCACAGAAUCUUCUAUACAUAUUUUAAAGUUGUGAGUGUCUCUUAAACCUAUAAUGGACAAUAUCUAUGUGAGAGAUGACAAGUUAUUAUAAAUAAUAUUAGAGUUAAUUCUUUAUCCGUGAAAGUUUGUUUGACCUUGUAAAUGGUUUUUAUCUUUUUGUUAUCAUAAUUCUAUGCAUUACAAUGAGGACGUUGCGUCUUUCUGAAGGCCACGCUAUAUAUGUAUUGAUUUUUCUUCAUUUUAUAAGCAUUCUGAAGGCCACGCUAUAUAUGUAUUGAUUUUUCUUCAUUUUAUAAGCAUUUUUUAAAGUCAUGAGUGUUUAUGAGGCACAAAACGGAUCACUACAAAUAUUUAUAUAGAUUUGCAUUUAAAUCCAAUAAAAUAUUAAAGAAAAGACUAAAACGGAACUUCGGUAUUGUAACUACUUAUGACCUAGUAGUAAACCUGAUUUUAAUAUAUCAUAUUAGAUUAUUUAUUUUUUAAAUACAUAAAUUGUUAGGUAAUAGAUCAACGAUAUAUACUAGACCGUUAACAUUAUCUAUAUAUUUAUCUUUGAAUUGAGCAGCAACAGCGAUUGACAUGCUUGUUGGUGGGACCUAAUUCAACAAUGAAUUGUAUUAUCACAUAUUUUAAUACUUAAAGUUUCUAUAAUUAAUUAGUCUUUGAAAAUGAUACAUAUUUAUUGUAGAGGCUACAACAAAAGCCUCUACAAUUAUUUUUAAGAGAAAUUAUUUAAGGGAUUUUUUGUAAUAAGAACAUGAAAUAAUAAUUUAUUUUUUUUCAUAUGUUAUAUUCUAACAAAAAAAAGUCCUUUAUUUUUUCAAAAAAGCGUCUAUUUCAUAAAUUAAUAUUAGUGAUUUUCUAGAUUUUUAAAAAUUUACUAAGCACAAUAUUAAAAACUUUUGUAUUCUAGGGAAGUCAUGAGACUUGGUCAAGAUAUGGAAUAUGGGAUGACGUUAAGCCUGAGAAAGAAAAUAUAAUUUCCCGGAAUAAGUAAAAGUAGGAUGUCUAAGGAAGAAAGCAUGAGAAUCACAUUGGAUGAUUAGUUUUAUCCUAUCAUAUUUAUUUAAUCUUAUUCCAAAGGAGACUUUAACUAAUAUGUUUUAAUUUUCUUCAUUGUUUUGGUCCCACCCUCUAUUUGUUUGUUACCUAGACCUUCCCAUUUUUGCUAGAAGGUUUUCUUCUUCUGGGUCAGACUAAUCAAAAUUUCAAAAGUUUAGUUGUUGGGUCUUUUUCUAUAGUCAGAUCAAGGUAGCAGCAGCUGCCACGAUUGUCACAGGAAGCUCAAGGGAAUCAACCAUCUCAUAUAUUUAUCGUUUAGCUUUCCUUGAUAUGCAAGUAAACCAACCCUACUACCAUUUCAGAUCUGCAUUAUAAAUAGAGAAGCAUAUGUUAGCCUAAUAUUUCAUCAAAUAUCACACACUUCCUCUCUUUUCUAGUUUUCUCUGCAGGCAAAUCAAGAAGGGUUAAAAAUGGUGUUCUCAGCCAUACUAAGUUGCUUUGUUCCAUCAUCUUCCUCGUCCCGAGUCUACAAUGAUGCUGGUGGGUCUAGUGUGAAGGGCCCUAAGAGCAAGUCAUCGAAAUCUUCAUCAAGAGCUCCGAUUCCGGUCUCUUACUUCCCCGUUAACUCCUACAUCUCUCGCAUGUAGUGAUUAAUUAAUUUCACUGCAAGGUGGAGUUAGAAUUUGAAGAGUAUGAAUGGAUCAUUGAUUCAGUCUAGGUAUCAUAUGAUGGGGUUCUUCAUCAUGCAGUCGCUCAAGGAGUGAUGACGGAGUUGGUUUUCAUGUACAGUUUGAUGAUUGAUUUGCAAUAAGUUGAUCGAAGAAUACUGUAUUAGAUCUUCAUCUUGUUAAUUUCCUCCAACUGCAUGCAAUAAACAGUUCUUUUUAAUAGAAAGUUGGGUACGAUGAUACCAUGAAAUUACCUGCAACCAAAUAAGACAUCAGCCCCUACUAUGAAAAUUGAGAAACAACAAAAGAGUUCACUUGGGGUUUCCAUUGGAAAGAAUCGGUACUUGAAAUAUUGGCAAUCAGUGAUUACCAUAUGUAUAACUGCUAAGUAAACCCUAGAAUCAGUUAGGGUUUAUCAUCAUCGAAGACAAAGGUUGUUCGAAUCAUAUAUUAAGCAAAAACUACUUACAUUAUACAGAUGAUGAUCAGUAAGGGAAGAAGUCUUAAAAAAGCCAAAGGAAACUGAACCUACGAUUUUGGAGAAAUUAGGGUGUAAUUUGAUCCACAAGGUGAUGACUGAUGACUAGAUAUGCAUGGUGGGAUUUGCCCCAGCGGUCCAUGAUGAUAGAAGGCUAUUAUCCUUUUACACAAGCACUAAAAGAAAAAGGAUAAAUUAAGUCGCCUUGCUUUGUCCUUUCAUCCGCCCAAAAUUCUUGCAAUAUGCACCUCAAAUCAAACCUAAGAGUAUCAAUCACUCUCUUUCUCUCCAUCCAUUAAAAAGUAUUAAUUUCAAACUUGUGAUAUCUCACAUGUUGGAAGUAGAUUUGUAUAGGUUUUUUAAUUUUGUAGAUGUACUUUAAAGUUGUGAGUGUCUAUUAGACUCACAAGGAAUAAUAUCUAAAUGAGAAAUAGCAAGUCAUUACAAAUGAUAUUAAAGUUGAUCAUCGAUCUUAAUAUGAGAGUUUAUUUGACCCUGCAAGAGAUCUUUUUAUUUCUAUGAUCUUAUGAGAUACAACGAGAACGUUAUGCACUUAUAUGAGGGUGUAUUAUAUAUGUAAUGAUUCUUCUUCAUCUUAUAAAUAACUUUUAAAGUUGUGAGUGCGUAUGAGACCCAAAACGGAUCAGUACAAAUAUUUAUAUAAACUUAUAUUUAAAUCCAUUAAAAUAUUAUUUGUUAUAUUAAAAUAAAUUGUUGUUUUUUAAAUGAAUUGGAAAUAUUUUGAAGUGUUUGUUCAUAAAGAAUUUUGAUAAAUAAUUGAAGAUAUGAAGAUUAAUUGUAGGGGACUCGUGACACGUAUUCAACAUAUCAAAUAUAAUUACUGAAUAAACAGCCAAAAAAAUAAAUGUAAAAAAUAAAAAAAAUACCAGGGCACCAGCUGAGAGAUGUGGAAGGGUCUUUAUCGGCCAAGAAGAGGAUGAGAUUGGCCUUGUUCUUCGGCGCUUCUGAUCUGAACUUCUCCAGCACGCCGUCGAACGUCGACACAGUGGCGUCCACCAUUUUCAGCGGCGUAUUCGCUUUUUCUCAGGGGUAUUUUGGGAAAUCUAGACAAUAUCAUUGCUUGACAACAAUGGCAUUCGUCUGUGCUCCUUUUACAGGUUUUAAGCUAAAAUUUGCCCACCCACAGGUGGUGAAAUUCCUGAUAUGCCCUUCAUAUUGGAGUCACCAAAAUCUCCAUGACAUAGUAUAUCACAUUUAUGUCAAAUUUGGAGCCAAUGAUAUAUUUUGUGGUUUUAAAGUUCAUUAUAUACUUAGAAAGGCUUAGAAUACAAAUUUGAUAAGGUCAAACAAUGAUAUUUUUCUAAAAAUUUUUGUCCUACGAGGUGGGCACACAUACCUAGAAAAGCCUAAAUCCUUGACAUUAUGCAAUCUUACUUUACAAGAUGGUAGCAAAUAAUUAAUUAUUUUUCAAACACCGUAUCCCCUUAAAUAUUAUAGUUGGUUCAAUAAGUGGUAGAGUCAGGAUUUCAAUUAGGGGACUAACUCUUAAGACAUAUGUAAAUUUUGCUGAUCAUAAAAGAUGUGGGCUUUGACCCAAUAACCCAUCCUUGGCAUUUUCUAAGGGGGGGCAUAAGUUGGUUUGGGGUGGGAAGUGGAGAUGGCUGGUUUCACCCUUGGGUUCAGUCAUUGUAUUGAUUGAUCCAAUGAAGAAUAAUAUUUAGUAUUGACAUUUGCCUUCAUAAAUGAGCUUAAUAGUAUUAUCUUGGUGAGUGCAAUCCAAUAAUUAACUUGAUAUGUGUUUUUCAUAAAAUUUUAUGUAUCUUUUUAUAUUUGCCCUUUACUACCAAAUGUCAUUGUUCAUUUUGAAUUUUUUUCUUCUAUAAUGAAUAAAUACUUUUAAUUUAAUAUAAAAUUAUAAUUAAUCAUAUCAUUUUUUAGAACAUGUAGUAAUAGUAAAUAUGUGUUAACGUCUUUGAAUCCGGGACUCGCUUUCUAUGAUAAAAAGAAUAUACCAUUAACAUUAUGAAAUGAUUUUUGAAACUCCCACCAAUCAACAUUAAUUAGUUAGUCCUUUUUAGUUAGAGAGUUAAUUUUACUAAGACCCCUAGGGUGUAAAUACGUACACAUAACCAUUAUUAAUUUUAAAUUUUGUCACUAAGUGUCUUUGUAAAUUUAUUUUGUUUAUACAAUUUAUUUUUUAAAGAGAUUUUAAGGAAGUGUAAUUAAUAAUUUUUUGAAAAAUAAGUUUUAUUCUUAAAUUUUUUUUAUAUAUGAAAUACAUUUAUAGAAGUGCUAAUUGAUAGAAUUUGAAACUAAUGAUGGUUUAAUGUAUUUAUACUGAACCUUGGGAUGUGAAUGAAACUAGCCCUUAGCGAAAUAGGGUUGAGGAGUUAAACAUGCAUGGGUUGAUUGUAUUAAGGAUGAAAAGUACUAUUAAGUUCUUGGAGACCAAGCAAAACUUGGUUAAUACUCCUAGAAUCAUCAGGUGGUCGGACUAGAAGUCAAAAGUUUUGGAGGAAUUGAAAACGACUUCCUCAAACUACAGACACAAGUGUGGGAAACAGGAAGGAAUUAAUUAACCAUCUAAGCUGGGGAGAUGGGGACACAACAUUUGAAUUUCCUUGCUAUACAAGAAAAUUAGUCCAACUUCACAGUAUAACACAUCAUCAUCUUCAUUCAAAUGUCAUCACUACUCACACUUCAGCUAGCUAGCUCUUGGCUUCUCAAACACUCACUUCCCUUAACUUCUGAAUAGAAAAAUUAAGGAGAAUUAAGGGUGAUUCAACAAUGGUGCUCUCAGCCAUUCUAAGUUGUUGUCUGCCAUCAUCAUCGUCGACUCUGCCUCGGGUGUCCGAUGAUGGUGGUGGGUCAAGAUGUGACAUUAGGCAAUCUUACCUUGCAAGAUUGUGGUUAGAUUGUAGAAUAAGCUAGCUAAUUUACUAUUUAUCAAACACUUUUUUCCCUAUAAAUUGAACUUUUUAAGUUAACUUAAGCCCCAUCUAAAGUUAUUAUAGCUACUAAUUAGCAAUCACAUCUCCCUUUCUAAUGGGAUUCUUAUCAACCAUUUUCAGGUGUUUGAUGUCUUGUUUUUCAAGCAAUGAAGCAAGAAAAUCUCCAGAGAAGCCUAAGAGAAAAUCAAAGUCAUCUAGGGCUCCCAUUGUGGUCUCUUCCUUCCCUGUCAACUCAAAUCUUUCUUGCUUAUAGCAUGCUGAAAUUUGAAAUGUAGUUGGUUCAAUCAUGGUAUGGACUGAUCUAUAAUUAAUGGCAAUGAAGCCAUGGUAUUGAUAGUUGCCUUUGCAAAUGAGCUUAAUGUUCUUAUAUAUCUUGGUGAGUAUAAUUCUAACUAUUUGAUCUGUCUUUUGAAUAUGAUUUAUGGUAUUUUACCCUACUGCAUGCCUUUGCUUUGGUUACCUCCUUGUGUGAACUGCCCAAUGGUCAUAAAGAUUAAUGAGUUUAAGCCUUGUUACGUUUACCCAUGCACAAAUUUGUAAUGUCAUUCACUUUGAAUUAAUUUCUUGGUGUAGACGUAUGAAACAAAAACUCUUUAUAUGAUACAAAAUUAUAGCUCUUAUCAUUUUUAAGACACGAUGAUGGAGGACGACAUCAUUCACUGCUUGAAGACCAAGCAAAACUUGGGGAAUACUCCUAGAAUUAUCAGGCGCCACACAAGUCAAAAAGUUAUGAAGGAAUAUUGAAAAUGGCUUCCUCAAUCUAGAGUCAAAGCAGCCACUAGUGUAGGAAACAGGAAGGAAUUUACCAUCUAAACAAUAUCACAAGCUGGGAAGAUGGGCACAUACCAUCUGGCUUUCCUUGCUAUGCAAGAAAAUGAGCCCAACUUCCAUUUCAAAUUAAACUUCCACUAUAAAUAUGUAGAAUCGUCUUCAUUCAAAGCUCAUUAAUACAAACUCACACUUCAGCUCUUGGCCUCUCAAACCACUUUGUUUAAUUUCUGAAAGCAGAAGGAGAAGGGUGAUUGAUCAACAAUGGUGUUCUCAGCCAUCAUAAGUUGUUUUCUGCCAUCAUCAUCGUCAUCUCGGGUGUCUGAUGAUGCUGGUGGGUCAGGCUCAAAGGUGCCUUCCAUGGGGAAAGACAAGAUGAGCAAAUCAAAUUCUUCAGGAGCUCCAAUAGUUCUUUCUUACUUUCCAUUGAACUCCUAUCUCUCUCGCUUGUAGUUGUACUACUAAUUGCAUUCUGAGGAAAGGGGAGUUGAAUUUGCAGAAGGUAUCAAUGGUUAAUUUCUUCAGCUCAAUGAUGUUAUGUGGAUCAGUUAAUUAAUGGGGCUUCUUGAUCAGUCAGUUCAGAGACCACACACCAUGGGGCAGUUGCUUAUGGGGUGGUGAUGUUGAAGGAAGAACAGCACUCAUGUACAUAUAGUUUGAUGAUUGAUUUGUAGUUUGAUUGAAGCAUAUCAUGUAAGAUCAUGGGUCCUUUAUUUUUAUUAGUAAUAUCCUGAUGAAUAAAAUUCAAGUGUAAUCCAAUUGUUUGAUUUGUGUUUUGGUAAGAGUUCUUAUUUCAUGUUAAUCCAUAUCCAAAUUCUUGUGCUUAACUUAAUAUAUUCAACAUAUUUUCAAUUAUAUCUUCGAAUUCAAUAAAAAAGACGAAGAAGAAGAGGAAAAUCCCUCAAAUUUGAAAUAAAAUACAACUUUAUUUUCAAAAUAAAUUCUCAAAACUAUUUUUAGUCCAAAAUUUAUUCUACCUAUGCUUUAAUUUGAAUUUUUUUUUUAAUUUUUCAAAAAUAGAAAAUCAUUUUAAAAAUUAAUUAUAACUUACCAUAAAGAACUGAUCUUCAAAUUUGAUCUAAUAUCAUGAUCCCUUUUUUGGUAUGAUCUCAAGUAUCUUGUUCUUAUCAUAUAUAAAAAAAAUGUUCUUAAAUUAAUACAAAAUGAUGAUAUGUCAUGUCACUUGAGAUACUUUCGAAAUGAUAGAAUAGAUAGAUUAGAAUUAGAAACCAGGAUCAUAGAAAUAAAAAAUUUAUUAUUAUGAAAAUCAAAGUCAACUUUUACAAGAAUCUUAUCCUUUUCUUACACAAUAUAUUAUGAUAGAUCUUCAAUAUUUUCACUUUUAUUCUUGCAUUCCAAACACUUCUAGAGAAUUUGCAUUCCAAAAUCAAAGCCAACAUUAGAGAACUUGUCACCUAGAAAGUUAGGUCUUUUUUAAUUCUCACAUUGAAGAAGCAUGGACCAUGUUUUUGUAUUUUAAUUAAAAUUGUUUCCAAUAAUUUUAUAUAGAUAUUAUCAGUCAUUCUGCUAGCUGGUCAUUGCAACCUCACAGCACAUGCCCACAUACUAAUAAAUAUCAGAAACUUCUUCCUAGCUAGGUAAUGUGGGGCAUGGCAAAUAAUUGAUAAAAAAUGAGAAGUCUUCAAUUCUUGGUGACCAAGAAAAACUUAGGUUAAAGCAACCACAGGAGUAGGAAGCAGAAGGCAACCAUCUGAUCAACAGUACUAUAAGUUGAGAACAUAGGCACACGUAUCAUUUGGUUUUUCUUGCUAUACAAGAAAAUCAUCCCAAUCCCAUUAUAAAUACAGAAUUAUCUUCACUCAAAUCUCAUCAUCAACCUUCUAUUUCAUAAUUUUUCAGACAUAGGAAGAGCAAAAACGAAAGAAGAAAAAAGACACGUAAAUCAUAACGGUAUUCUUUAUUAAUCUCAUCUUACACAUACAAACAUAUAUAUAUAAAGAAAAAUAAAAUUUUAACGUAAUUGAUAAUUGAUAUGAUUCCUAUGCUCACGGAAUACAUCAACACUCAAGAAUCUACUUCAUUUGACACGUAUAAGCAUAAAUAAAAAAAAACAAAAUUUUAAUAUAAUUGAUAAUUAAUAUGAUUCCUAUGUCCAUGGAAUGUUCCGAUACUUUAAGUUUGAAAUAUUAGGCAGGUACCAUAGUGUGGGGUUAUCCUAUUGUAUUUGCAUGCACCUCAAGACCCAAUACCUUGUGGCAUGACUUAGGUUAGAUAGUACAUUAUUUGGGAUAUCCAUGGUACAACCUAAUUACUUUGAUUUGUAGGAAUCUACAUAUAAUCUCAAUUGAUUUCAAACAAUUAAUUUGAUUUAGAAAAUUGAUGAGUUUAAUUACCAGGCACAUAAACUAUUUCUUCCACAAACAUAAUUGUGUCAUACAUCUUAUGGAUAAAUUACACUAGUGACUAUAAGACCAUGAUUAAAAUUUUUAUCCAAACAAUUAUAAAAAUUAUGGUUGAUAUUUAAACAAUUUUUUUUAUUAAUAAAAAAACUAUCCUAAAUGAGAUUUAAAGAAGGUAACAUCACUGAUUUGAUUGCCUCCGCUAUUGCAUUGUUACCUUACUUUUGUACUCAUCUAAGUCAAUUGCCCAACCAAAAUAAUGAUUUACUAUUCUUAAUGACCACACGACAUUCAUUAGUAGAUAAUGCGUCACACCUUCUUUGAAGAUGGGCAGGCUAAGGAAUAUUCUUAAACCAUAAGUAAUUUAAUUAUAGAAUAUUCAUUUAUAGAAACUCAGUCACACCAGUUAGCUAGGCAACAAAUCAUACAUUCUCAUUUGACUAUAAAUGAAAGUUAUAAUAGCUUCUAAACAUAUAUAUAUAUAUAUAUAUAUAUAUAUAUAUAUAUAUAUAUAUAUAUAUAUAUAUAUAAACAUAGUAAAGAUAUAGUUAUAAGUGAUGUUUGUUUUUUGGUUAAAUAGAAAAAGCCAAAUAUUUUGGUUUUUUCUAUUCAGUUAAAAGUAACUAAUUGACAUCAACCAACAUCAUUAAACUAAACUUAUUGAGAAUAAGUUCACUUUAAUUAUGUUGGUUAGUACCAAUAAGAUACUUUUAGCUGAAUAGAAAAAAUCAAAAUAUUUAGCUUUUUCUAUUCAGCCAAAAAAUAAAUACCAUUAUAGUGUUUUAAAUUCUUUAGUAGAUAACGAGGUAGGAUUAAAAAUAAUUAUUUUUCCCAUUCAAUUGAUUUGUGUUUGACAACUUUUUCUAAAUAUUUUUUUAUAUUAAAAAUAAGUGUAAUUUUGGUUUUUGUUUUUAUAAAAUUUAAUUUAAGAAAUAUUUACUUUUGACAUCAUGUUAUUUUCAAAUGUAAAUUCGAUCUGGGGUUUGUCAGCUUUAUUCAAUAUGGUUAAAAAUUACAUCUAAUUUUUGUAUAUUUUUCAAAUUGAGACUUUUAGUUCAUAUGAUAGUGAUUUUAGAAAAUCCUUAUAUUUUUUUUAAUAUUUAAUAUUUUUUAUCUUUUAAAUGUUAAAAAACUAAAAACACUUUCUAUAAUAUUAUCAAACACACUCAUAUCCAAUAUGUUUUUUUUUUCCACAUAUUUGAUCCACACUUCCAAUAAUUAUGGUCAAAGACACUCAUCGCUGAUAUGGUUUUUUAUGUACUUAUUUCAUCCUUUGUGUAUAUUUUUCGAAGUAUUAAAAAUACUUUCUAUAAUCACCGUUAAAUACACAUAUCCUAUAUGUUUUUUUUUUUAAAUAUUUGGUCACACUUCCUAUGACCACGGUUUAAGAGCCUCGUAUCCUAUAUGUUUUUUUUUACAAAUUUGGUCCCACCCUGUCUGUAUGUUCCCCGAAGCUUCCCACUUUCUCUAAAAAGAUUUAUUCUUAAACUCAAGGGGAACCAUGUCAUAUAUGAUUUGGCUUUCCUUGCUCUGCAAGUAAAUCAAAUCCACCUCCAUUUCUUAUUUCAAAUCUGCACUAUAAAUAGGGAAGCAUCGAACCCUAAUGUUUCAUCAAGUAUCUCACACUUCCUCUCAUUUCUAGUUUUCUCUCAGGAGAAAGAAGGGUGAAAAAUGGUGGUCUCAGCCAUACUAGAUUGCGUUGUUCCAUCAUCUUCCUCAUCCCAGGUCGUCGACUAUGCUGGUGGCUGGCCUUCCAUGGAGAAACCUAAGAGCAAGUCAUCAAAAUCUUCAAGGCUCCAAUCCUGGUCUUUCACUUCCCUGUUAACUCCUACCACUCUCGCCUGUAGUGGUUGAGUUAAUUGCUUGAGGAGUGAGAUGGAGUUUUGUUUUCAUUUACAGUUUGAUGAGUGAUUUGCAAUAACUUCAUACAAGAAUAUUGUAUGCAAUGAAAGAGCUAUUUUUGAUUGAAUGUUGGGUAUGUUUGAUGCCAUGAAAUUAAUUACCAGCAACCAAACAAGACAUGGAACCCUAGUUUGAAAAUUCAGAAACUAACAACAAAAGUUCAGUUGGGUAAUGAAUAGCAGUCAGUGAUGGCAUAUGGGUAAUAGUUAAUUAGAGUCACUAUUAAUUCAGGGUUUAGAGUUUAAAGUUUAUACUUAGUUGUUGGACACACAUAAAGAUCUAUAAAGAAUUCUUAAAAAAUCAUUUAAAAAUAAAUAAAACAAUAAGUUAUUUUAAUAUAAGAAAAAUUUUAAAAUGAUUAAUUUUUUUUAUAAUCAUUUUAAAAUUUAAAUAUUUUUAAUUUAUUUUUAAGCUUUUAAAAUGAGAAAAUAUCAAUUCUCGGAAAUUUUAAAACACUACAAAUAAUGUAAAUUGUUGGUGAUCGGAGAGCAAACUCCAACAUUAAAGACCUUUUCUCACUGAAGAUACUCUCUUUCCACACAAUGGUUGUUUUUUUUAACAGACUUGCCUAUUAAAAAAGGGUCAAACACCAUGUUGACAAAGGGGAGACUAAUGAUCUAAAAACUAAAAACAUUUUGUGCUGAAAAGCCCAGGAGAGGACUAAGCCAAAAAUUAAAUAUUUGGAAAGGGGAAAAUUUUAGGGGAUAUGUUGGAUAUCAAAUUUGUAAUCUUGGUAGUCAUUUGAAAUAUAUAAUGAAAUAUAAGUUGUUUGAUAUUUAUAGUUAUUUUCAUGAAUAAUGAUGGUCAUGAGGUCUUUUUGCGACGUCUAGGAAGCAAGCACGUGGAGUUAAAUAAGCAAAGUUGCAUGAGGCUUGGGGGUGCAAGCCUAUUUCGAUCAAUCCAAAGUUUGAGGCUGAUCGAGGGAAUUAGAGAUAUUCAAAUGAGUUCAAAUAUAUACAUAUUUUUAAAUUAUGUACUCAUUGAGGAUUAAUUUCAUACAUUUUCAAAAGAUUUGGAUGCCGUUUUCCUAGUUGAAAAUUUUGAAAUUUUUUUAAUGGAAAAUAAGAAAAAUGUUGAAAGAGCUUAUGUAACAUUUUUCCAAAAUACUACACUAGGAGGACACCACCUUAUAACUUGAUGUCAUUUUCCCAUUCCCUGGUGUCAUUUUGUGCUGAAGAUGAGCUAUGUACACCCCAAAAAAUGGCAAGGUCACUUUAUGCUCUACUACCAUUCCUCACUCCCUGCCACCAUUUCAUGCUAAAACUCCAAGACAAUAUGAGCCCACCAUUUUUGGACCUUUCGAGUUCACCAUUGGAUCUCUUAUAUUGUUUUUGAUACGUUAACGAGGUACUUAUGACACAUGGGAACACCUAUAUAAAGCCAUUUUGCAGUUAAUGAAGGGGGCGCCUUUGAGGAGAGCCUUUGGGCUACUAGCUUGGGGAGGAGACCAGCUUGUUCCAGCUUGCAUGCUUUAUUUGCUCGACGCUUUGCUCAUUUUAGUAAUUUGGUAAAGUUUUGAACUCACUGCUCUUGAUUAUACUUGAUUGUAACUACCAUUAAUAUUUGGUUUUGAAGUUGAAUUUGAAUGAUUGUAAUAGGUACUUUCUUAUGCUCUGAUUUUGUUCUUCACUUUGGUUAUAUUUUUGUGGCUUUUGAGUAGUAGUUUAGGUUGAGGAGAAGGGGGUUCUUAGGACCUCCAUUGUGUUUAUGAAAUGGACUCUUAAAUUCUAAGUGUUUGAUGAUACAGUCAGCAUGUGAGCUUUGUUUUUAAUUAGAAUAUCAAUAUUCCUUAAUAUUUGAAAAUUGAAGUUUGGGGGACCCUUAAGGGUAUCUUAAGUACUUAAUGGUUGAAAGUCAUUUUGACUUGAAAUGACUGUUAUUGAACCUCUAAUUAUUUGAUAACAAAUGGUAGUGGAAGCUUCAAUGUGAUAUCAUAUGGAGUUUCAAUUCACAAGUAUGAGACAUUGGGUUUGAUUAAAAUGUGCUUGUGUUGCAAAUCCUCUAACUAAGAAUACCUAUUGGUGACCUUAAUUGUGUCAAUUUCAUUAAGGGCUAUUUCAUGAAAACAAAGGAGUUCCAAGAGAUCUCCUAAUCCUUGACACUUUUUUAGCCUCCUGUUAAUAAUCUUUCCAAUUCCAUUGCACACCUAACAUCUUUUUCCUUUGGUUUGACUCUCUGACUCAUGGAGAUAUUAAAAUGGCAAUGUACUCCUUAUUGUUACAUACGCAUUACGAAGGAUGAAAAGUAUCCAAUUCUUGAAGACCAGGCAAAACUUGGUGAAUACUCCUAGAAGUAUCAGGUGGGUAACAUUAGAAGUCAAAAAGUUGUGAGAAACGGAAUUGAAAAUGACUUCCUCAAACUACGGUCAAAGCAGCCACAGGUACGUAGGAAACAGGAAGGAAUUUACCAUCUAAACAAAAUCACAAGCUGGGAAGAGGGGCAUGUACCAUCUGGCUUUCCUUGCUAUGCAAGCAAAUUAGCCCAACUUCCAUUAACUCCACUAUAAAUAAAGAACCAUCUUCAUUCAAAUCUCAUCACUACUUACACUUCAGGUAGCUCUUGGCCUCUCAAACCACUCACUUUCCUUGACUUCUGAUCAAAAGAAAAUAGGGAGAAUCAAGGGUGAUUCAACAAUGGUGUUCUCAGGCAUUUUAAGUUGUUUUCUGCUAUCAUCAUCAUCUUCAUCGCCUCGGGCGUCCGAUGAUGCUGGUGUGUUAAGCCCAAAGAAGCCUUCCACGGUGAAAGACAAGAGCAAAUCAAAAUCUUCGGGAGCUCCAAUUGUGGUGUCUUACUUCCCAGUGAACUCCAAUCUCUCUCGCUUGUAGUAGUACUAACUGAAUUGUAAGGAAAGAGGAGUUGAAUUCAAGAAGGGUACCAAUGGUGUUUAUUAAGUUCAAUGGUGUUAUGUGGAUCAGUUAAUGGGGUUUCUUGAUCAGCCAGUUGAGAAACCAGACCCUGGCGCAGUUGGUCAGGGAAGAAUAACACUGAAAAUAGUAAUAUCAGUUGUAUAUAUAGUUUGAUGAUUGGUUUUUAAUUUGAUUAAAGCAUGCAUAUGGUAUAAGAUCAUGGUUUCUUGAUUUGUUUUUUCUUAAGAUUUCUCCUAUAUCUUGUUCUCAGAUCCCUUUACCUUGUUUACCUCCUUUUCUGAAGUUCAGAUUUUCUUCAUCCAACACACUGAUAAGUGGCUCUGAGCCUGCCUAAUGACCUUGAAGAUCAAUGGGUUCUUCAUUUACUUUUCUUUUCGUCUAUGAGCAAUGAACUAGAGAUCAGUGAAUGAAAGAAAAAAAGGAAAUCUCAUAGAAAGUAUGCAACAUUGCUGAAGAAAAGAAGAUGAAGCUGUGAAUAUAUACGUAUAUUGAUCAGUUGAUGACAAUUCGAUCUAUUGAAGAUUUAAUUUAAACCUUACCAGAGCGAUCAAUUGAACUGCUAUUAACUAUUUGCUUGAGAAAAAACAAGGGCAUGUUUCCCAAUGUGGAUCCUAUCAGUUAGGUUACCUGGCCAUUUCAUGCUAAUAAAUAUCAGUAACAAAAUGUGAGGCAUUACAGAGAAUUGCUAAAGAUUAGUGAAAAGUCUUCAAUUCUUGGUGAGUAAGAAAAACUUAGAUUAAUGUUGCUAGAAGUAUUGGAGGUCAUAGAAGUAAGUCAAAGUUCUCAAGGAACUCAUGAGGAUGAAUUCCUCCGAGUAGGGUCAAAGCAGCCACAAGGGUAGGAAGCAGGAGGCCAGGAACCAUCCGAGCAAUACUAUAAUUUUCUCGGACUUGGGCAUAUAUCAUUUGGCUUUUCUUGUUAUGUAUACAAGAAAAUUAACCACCCCAAUCCCACUAUAAACACAGAAUCAUCUUCACUCAAAUUUCAUCAUCAACCUUCUGGAUCAUAAUUUUCUCGGACAAGGAAGAGCAGAAGCCAAGCCAAUUACAAUGGUGUUUUCAACCAUCUUGAGUUGUUUCUCGCUUAGUGAACUGGUGAAAUCUAACAGCAAAUCAUCAAAACCUUCACAAGCUCCAAUACUGGUUUCUUACUUCCCUGUCAGCCUUCAUCUCUAGCUUGUAGUACUUUAAUUACGAAGGAGAGAUCAUCUGCUGAAUCAUAAUGGCAGAAACGGUUUAUUCAUCUGGUAUAUUGAUCAACUCAUGGGGUUUUUUGAUGUAUAAAUUCAUUAAUUCACGAUUGAUUUGUAAAUUAAUUUGAUUGAAGCACACAUAUUAUAUAAGAUUAUUGUUUCUUGAUGAUAAUUAAGCUAAUCAUCAUAUAUACCUUUCCUUACUAUAGAAAAACCAGAUAUUAGGGCUUGUUUGGAAACAAUUCUGAAAAAUAUUUUUUGAGAACAAGUUUUAAAAAUUGUUUUAGGAUAUUUUGUAGAAAAAAAUUUAUUUUAAAACUUGAAAUGUUUUUAAUAUUUUUAAAAUAAAUUUUAUAAUUAUUUUUUAAAAUAGCUUUAAAAAAUAUAAGUGAAAACAACUAAAAAAUGUUUUAUGGAAAUAUUAUGUUUUCUAAUUGUCAAACGUGUUUUCUAGUUUUUUGUUUCUGAAAAACGAAAAUUGUUCUCCAAAACAAUUGCUAAACAAGCUUUAGGUGGUAUUUGUUUUUUUACUUAAUUCUAAAUAGAAUAUUAAUACUUAUUAGUAUUAAAUAUUAGGUUGUUUGUUUUUAUAGUAUUUUAUUUCUAUUAAGUAUUAAAAAAUAAAAAAACACCAUUGUGUUAUUUUUUCUAUUUAGAAAAAGCCACAUAUUUUGACUUUUUCUAUUUAGUAAAAAGUUUAUAAUAAGUCAUGAAAAAGUAAAAAAACAAACAACCUAAAUUUUAAAACUAAAUGAUUUUAAGCAAAAAAUCAAAAAAACAAACACCGCCUUAGUCUACUUCAAUCCUCAUUUGUAAUUAUCUUGAUUAAUAAUAUUGUGGUACCUUUGGCUAUUACCAGUUGGGACGCUUGACCCAAUAUUUGAUAGUAGAGUUCUAAUUAAUAUAUAAUUAAAAUUUUCUAAUUAUGUUUAAUUUAAUGAUGGGAUAUUAUUGAACAACAUCAUAAAAAAAUUUAAUAUUAACUAGAUUUAUCAAUUAAAAUAUUAAUAGCAUUAUCAUUUUUAUAUAUUAUUCUUCUAUGUCAUAUACCUUGAUGCCGUGAUGAAUACUUCUAUUAUUACGGAACUUGAUAAAGUCGAAAAAUAUUGUUAUAUACCGAGAGUGACUUUCUUCCUCCAUGGUCAAAGCUGGCACAUGCCAUAGAAAGUGGAAGCUCAAGAGCAACAUGGGUACUUAUAUCAUUUGACUAAGAUAAAAUUAAUUGAGAUAAAUAUUAAUAAAAUUAAAAAAGCAGGUAAAUAUGUCAAUUUGAUAAUUAAAAAAUAAAUUAAUUUUAUCGAAUAAUAAAAAUCAAAUAAUAAAUUUUAAGUUUAUAAUUUAAGAAUAAUUUAAUUUAAAAUUAAUUAAAUUAUUAAAUAUAAGUAUUAAAUUUGACCAAAAUAUCAUUUUCACCUCGCCUUGAUGAAGCCAUUAAGUAUUUAACAUUAGCCAUUGAUUUCUUUUUGGAUCAUUUUGAAACCCAAUGAUGUUGGAGGGAUGUUGAUGAUUUAUUGUUUGGUAUAUUUUAAGGUUUAAAGGAUAAAUAGUAGUACUGAAUACUUCCUACUAUCCUGACCAGUUCUUAAAGUCCAAAUGAAUUGAAAAUCUUGUGACACUGAAAGUGACUUUCUUCCGAAAUGGUCAGAGCAGCCACAACUGAUGGAAAUUCAAAGGAUCCAACUCACAAUUUUCACAAGAAACAUGGUCAGUUGGACUUCAAAUUGCUUUAUAUUCAAGAUAUUAAGAGCUCGAUAGGUUUGCAUCGCAGAAACAAACAAGUGAUUUUAGCACCGAGUAAUACUUGACUUCAUUAGAAGAGUAGGCAUGCAACGGUCCAUUGCUUUUUAGAGCAUCAAUACAUUGUCGGAUUGCCCUCACGUAGGAUGUCUUAUUUUUCCAAAAUAUAAAUAAAUCCCAUUAAUUAGGAAGAAAGCUUGAGAAUCACGUCUAAAGGAGACUUAGUUAAUAUAUAUGUUUUUCUUCAUUGGUUUGGUCCCACCCUCUAUUUGUUUGUUCCCUGAAGCUGGUUAGACUAGUCAAAAUUUGAAAGGUGGUGUAAUUUGACAUGACUGUACUUCAAAGACAUGGACGCCACCGCACCAAAGUUUAGUUGUUGGGUCUUUUUGUAUAGUCGGAUUAAUCCACUUGCUGCCACGAUUCUCACAGGAAGGUCCAGGGAAUUGACCAUCUCAUAUAUUUAUCAUUUAUCUUUCCUUGCUAUGCAAGUAAAUCAACCCUACUUCCAUUUCAAAUCUGCUGUAUAAAUAGAGAAGCAUCUUAGCCUAAUAUUUCAUCAAAUAUCAGACACUUUCUCUGCAGGCAAAUUAAGAAGGGUUAAAAAUGGUGUUCUCAGCCAUAUUAAGUUGUUUUGUUCCAUCUUCUUCCUCGACCCGAGUCUUCAAUGAUGCUGGUGGGUCUAGUGUGAAGGAACCUAAGAGCAAGUCAUCGAAAUCUUCAUCAAGAGCUCCGAUCCCGGUCUCUUACUUCCCUGUUAACUCCUACCUCUCUCGCUUGUAGUGAUUAAUUUCAUGGCAAGGUGGAGUUAGAAUUUGAAGAAUAUCAAUCGAUUAUUCAUUCAGUCUAGGUAUGAUAUGAUGGGGUUCCUCAUCAUGCAGUUGCUUGAGGAGUGAUGAUGGAGUUUGUUUUAAUGUACAGUUUGAUGAUUAAUUUGCAAUAAUUAAUUUCAAGAAUAUUGUUGAUUUCCUCCAAUUGCAUGCAAUGAAACAGCUCUUUUUAAUGUAAGUCGGGUGCGAUGAUACCAUGAAAUUACCUGCAACCAAAUAAGACAUUAACCCCAACUGAAUUUUCUUGUUGUUUCUGAAUUUGAUCAGUAAAGGAGGAAGUCUUAAAAAAGCCUAUGGAAAAUGACCCCACCAUUUUGGAGAAACACUAGGUGAAAUUUGAUCCACAGAAUGAAGAUCAGGUAUUCAUGGUGGGAUUUGCCUUAUGGUCCAUGACGAUAAAAGCUUAUUAUUCUUCUAUGCAUGCACCAAAGAAAAAGGGAAAAUUAAGCCGCCUUACUUUGCCUUUUUAUUCUCCUAAAAAGUCUGCAAUAUGCGCCUCAAAUCCAACCUAAGUGUCUCUGA